rnacentral:rRNA from 1 species
GUGUCAGCAGCCGCGGUAAUACGUAGGGAGCAAGCGUUGUCCGGAAUUACUGGGCGUAAAGGGUGCGUAGGCGGCUAGGCAAGUCAGAUGUGAAAUCCCCGGGCUUAACUCGGGUGGUGCAUUUGAAACUGCUUAGCUUGAGUGCAGGAGAGGAAAGCGGAAUUCCUAGUGUAGCGGUGAAAUGCGUAGAUAUUAGGAGGAACACCAGUGGCGAAGGCGGCUUUCUGGACUGUAACUGACGCUGAGGCACGAAAGCGUGGGGAGCAAACAGGAUUAGAUACCCUGGUAGUCCACGCUGUAAACGAUGGAUACUAGGUGUGGGGGAGAUACAACCUCCGUGCCGCAGCAAACGCAAUAAGUAUCCCGCCUGGGGAGUACGGUCGCAAGGCUGAA